CUGUGGUCGUGUUUGGAUCGCCGGUGCAGGAUCACCCACCGGGUCGCGUAUCAGAUACACAUUGCAGCAGGAGUGGCGCCCCGUAAAGUGAAGUUUUUGCAUCGCAGCAGCCAGCGAAGUGUGGGGUUGCGCUUCGCCGGAGUGCUUUGGGAGUGCAAAUCCGAAAGAAGAAAAUCCGUCCAGUGGUGUCGGUCGCUGAGUUGCGUCGCUUGAAUGCUAGAAGCAAUCGGAUGCAACUCCAACGGCGGUGACCGAGUGGUGCGUACUUAGUGCAGCAGCAGUUCGUCGUGAGUGAAUGCAAAUACGAGCGUCGCUGAUACGUGGCACCCUUAUCUGCAGCGCGAAGCUGUACACACCGCCGCCGCCGUCGCCACCGCGUUGGUCAAGCUGCAUCGCCGGCGGAUAAUUAGGUGUGUACCGUGCGAAGUGUGUUGACAUCACUUGGCGGGAGGAAACGAAAUCCCGGGGAUAAAACGGACGUUGCGCUUCUGUCAUCGGACCGGUAAAGCCAGCAGGAUCUCUCGACGCCAGCUCCUUCGGACCGCUGAUCUGAGGCGAAUGUAAAUAUUAGACGAGUGUCUUCGAAUCACACAAAGACAGGGCACAACACUCCGGCGCCGGUCUACGGUUUCGCGUGGCGCGAUUUGUAUGACUAGCAGAUGAAAGCAAAACAUCAAAUCACCUUCUCGGGUUGACUCGGAUCUCGGAUGCUCAGCCCCCUGUGACGAAGCCCGUGGCAAGUGACAGAU